CUGGGGCGUUGGGAUUUCGAUCUGUUUGGUUUUUAUUUGAUGACGGUGGCUGCACGGAGACUGGGUGAGCGGAAGAUGGUGGUGACUGGGUGUGUGGCGACGGUCGGGGAUUCGGAUCCGGCAGUAGGGUUGUUGACCCUCUGGGUUUGGGGAUAUAGGCUCGGGUGUUGAUCUUCUUCAUGGAAUUGGGCAUGCGAGCUUUGUGUUUGUGGUGGUGGGUGAUGUGUGGUCAACGACGAUUGGGGUUCGGUAUCGGCGCCAAACAGAUUAUGGAGGAGCCUACAAUCCUGCAGCAGUGUCCAAACACGGUGUACUACAUAUUAUCACAUUAUAUUGGUUUAUUUCUUAUUUUCUUUCCAUUCUACUAGUCGGUCACAGUGUAUUAUUAACAUUCGAGGUGUUGCCGACAAGUUUGAUGGAGAGGAUAACAAUAAAGCAAAUGAAGUCGUCCUGAGUAUUGUUGACCUUGCUGGAGCUGAAAGAGAAAAGAGAACUGGGAAUCAGGGAGCAAGGUUGCUUGAAAGUAAUUUCAUCAACAACACAUCGAUGGUUUUUGGCUUGUGCUUGAGAUCCUUAUUGGAGCAUCAGAAGAACCCUAAGAAGCCAAUGCAAAAGCACUUUCAGAACUCAUUGUUGACCAAGUACUUGAGAGACUAUUUGGAAGGCAAGAAGGGG